GUUGAAUUACAUCUCCCUCCUCAAAUUCAGAUAUGGAAUUUGGAGAUAGACACCUAUAUGGGGAGAAUGCCCUGUGAACAUGAAAUCAGCCAUCUACAAGCCAAGGAGGGAAGCUUGGGACAGAGCUGCCAACACUUUGACUUUGAACUUCUAGCCUCUGGAACUGUGAGACAAUACAUUUCUGUUGUCUAAACUACCCAGUUGUUACUUUGUUAAGGCAGCACUCAAAAAUGAAUACAAGUGACUAAGUUACAGAGAGUUAUGAAUAAAAUGAUUUCUCUGCUGCAGGGGCUCCAGAAGCUUGGAUGUGCUCUAUCACCCUCUGAGAGCUGAUGGCAUGUGAAUCUCAUCCCAAAUCUGAGUGCAGAGUGCUUUUUGUUUGGCAUAGAGCAUUUCAUGAGACUGUUGUUCUGUGGUUCUGACUCAGAGAAACAUCGAGUUUAUUUCCCCUAAGGAAGCAGCCAUGCCGUGGGUCUCACAGCUGCAGAAAGUUCAGCUUCAUGGGACUGAGCUACUUUCAGGAAAUAAGGAUGCAGGUGAAAAUUUUUGAUUACAUUUAGUUCAAAUCCAUUACACCUCCUGGGGGCAGAGCAGAACAGCUCCAAGGAAAUAACCUACUGGAAAUGAUCAGGAGUCAUUUUUCUUGAUCCAUGAAUCCUUUGAUUCCUGUUAUUUCACAUCUGUGACUCAGAAGCAGCCAUUUGAAGAGAAAAAAACCAAGAAGUACUAGGUUGUCUCCCUUAGUGGAGUGGUUCAGGAAAUUUAGGAAAAAAAUAUGCAAGCGUGAUUUUAUCAAAUUGAACACACCACUACAGAUUUGCCUUUGGAGCACUCCAUUUAUUCCUACUCAGACCUUGACAAACUGAUCCAUCUGUCUUGAAAUGGAACAUUGGGAGAUAAAUGGACCAUCAUCAUUGUCAGUGGUUAAAAAAGUAAGACUAAAGAUUUAACUUGUAUAUUUCAGUUUCAAACAUGCACACAUAGAGUGAAGGAAAUGUGAACCGGAUGAACACAAGCUUCCUAAACAUUUGCAAAAUCGCGAUACUUCAACUUCUUAUUUAUCUGAUGUGUAUUAUAUUAUUUAAAGCUAAACUUUAAAAAAUUUUAGACUUGCUAUUUGAUCUACGGGUGUGACAAGUAUUUGUGUCUAAAUCUGGUGAAAACUUGGGAUCAUGCAGACAAAACAUUCAUCAAUCCUUGUUUCAUAUUUUUAGGUCACUAUCAAUAAACUCUACCCACCUCUCAUGCUCAUUUCAGUUCUCA
rnacentral:lncRNA from 10 species